rnacentral:lncRNA from 1 species
UUUCUAUCAACAUUUUAAAAUUUCAUUAUCUGUAAUCCCCCUCCCCCCCCCCCACUAGUCUUUCAUUUCCUGUCUUUACUCUUUCAGCAUCUUAUUGGUGAAUUAAUUGUUUCACUGGAAGAUGGAGCAGAGUGAUUCUCUCAGAGUGGCUAUGCAGCUUGGUGGUCUAGAACCACUGUCAGAUGCUGGAGCCCAUGGGGUGGCUGCAAACCAUGGCUGAAUGUUAUGAAAUAGAUGAGUGAUGUUGAACAGCAGCUUGACUCAUUGAAUCUUCACCAGAGCCCUGUGAGGUAUUGGAGGAGGCACUGUGGAAACUUCUCUGCUUUACGAAUGCAAGCCGUUUUUAUUGCAGCUGGUUGUUCAGGCUGAAAGGAAUUUUAUCUCCAAAUGAAACAAUUUCAAGCAGGCUGAUACCAUAAAGUAGGCAUCCUGCAGCCAUCACUGAUCCUGACAGCAAACAGAAUACAGAAGGAGGGCUUGCCAUGAAAAUAUUGAGACCAGGAAAACCUGGGUGGCUCAGCGGUUGAGCGUCUGCUUUUGGCUCAGGGCGUGAUCCUGGAGUCCCAGGAUCGAGUCCCACAUCGGGCUCCCUGCAUGGAGCCUGCUCCUCCCUCUGCCUGUGUCUCUGCCUCUCUCUCUCUGUGUCUCAUGAAUAAGUUAAUAAAAUCUUUUAAAAAAAUAUUGAGACCAAUCCAUUAUUAAUUGGCAGGUAUGGAUGAAAUGUUUGCUUUUGAAUUACUGGUGGUGGAUAUCAAGGAUGUCAAGGUAGAAGGCCACCUUACCUCACCAGGAUGUGAAGGAAUUUGCUAUAUUCCAAAGGUCUGCUCCAUGCUCAGAACCAUGACUAGGAAUAAAGGACACUGCCUGCUUUUCCCAGACACUCCAUUUAUGGGAAUCUGUGUUAUAUUUAGCUGCUUCUCACAUCAUAGUCAUCCUCAUCCUGAAGGGCAGAAAUGGUAG